UGAAGGGCCGCGGUAUUUUGACCGUGCAAAGGUAGCAUAAUCAUUAGUUCUUUAAUUGUGAUCUGGAAUGAAUGGCUUGACGAGAUGCGAGCUGUCUUAAAUUUGAAUGUUUUAUUGAAUUUGGUUUUUGAGUUAAAAUUCUUAAAUGUUUUUAUGGGACGAGAAGACCCUAUAGAGUUUGACAUAUUGGUUUACUUGUUUAUUUGUUGUUUGUUUUAUUUUUGAUAAGUGGGCUUUGUGUUUUGUUGGGGUGAUGAGAGGAAUAUUAUUUAACUCCUCUUGGUUUAGUGGUUAUAUUAAUUUAUAUUUAUUUGAUCCAUUUAUUUUGAUUAUAAGAUUUAAUUACCU
rnacentral:rRNA from 1 species